GCUCAGGGUGGAACCAGCUCCCAGGCCUCAGCUGUCCCAGGCCAUCCUGGACUCCCUCCUGCUUCACCACCUGGCACCCGGGGCCGGCCUGAGUCCCUUUAAGUUCCAACGUGUGGCUUCUCAGUCCCAGCCCUGGCCUUGCUGCCCCUUCCCUCCUUGGAGCUUUCUCUCUGCAUUCAUCCCAGUGGUCCCUGAUCCCCACCUCCAACAUAGGACCCCCCUCCAUAUCCCCCAGCCCGCUAGACCGUAUCCCUCAAACACAGCGGGUGCCUGCAAGUUGGCUCACCAGGCCUAGGGGAGGCACGGCUGCCCUUGCGGGUCAGACCUGGGGCUGUAAUUCCAUCCCAGGCUCUGGACCAGCCGGUCAGCACCAGGAGGUGAUGGGGGCCGGGGCCUCAGUCCCGGCUGAAGGGACACAGCUGCUCCCCAGGGGCCCCUGGCCUCUGAGGGCUCGCGUUGCAGAGGCGGGUGAUGGCUCUGCAGAUAGCCACUGCAGGUGAAAUGGACACCUGGCUCUCCCUGGUGUCCCCUCCAGGAGCUGUCACUGGGCAGUCCGCCUUCCAGGAUGGGACAUAGUGGAGCAGGCACGGGGGGCCAUGUCAGCCUGUCAGUCGGGCUGGCCCUGGAGGAAGGUUUGCACCUAUGGUGUACCAGGAAUCUCCCUACUUGGGGAACAGUGAGGGGAAGGACUCUCCAGGGUCACCUGGUCCCACCUCCGGUGCUGGGGCCUGGGAAGGAGAGAGAAGGGAGGUGGCUGUGGCCCGUCCCCUUCCACCAGAGGGGGGCUGCUGGGGUUCCCUUGGUGGAUAUGGAGAGGCCCCAGCCCUGCACAAGGCCAGCCUGUUGCCUCAGCCUCAUUCACUCACUCACUCACUUGCAGGGUAGCAUUCACGGAUCAUGGCACCUACCGCGUGCCAGGACGUGCUAGGUCUGGAGAGCCAGAAAAAACCCCUUGUAUUGCAAGAGUGGAGAGUCGGUGACAGGUCAGCAAAUUCAUAAACGAGCUCUUCUGAGAUAAAAAGGAACUGGGAAUGGGCCCCUUGGGGACAUGGCUGGUGCUGGGGCAGAGCAGGAAAAGGCAAGCUGAGCUCCUGGCCAUGGUGGGAUGACAGGGGGCAGGAGGGCCAGAGAGGAGAACAGCAGAAUCAUAUAGUGCUGGCUUAUGACC
rnacentral:lncRNA from 10 species